rnacentral:lncRNA from 1 species
GAAGACCACAGUUUCCUGUCGCGUGGAUGUGUUUCCUCUCUGGCCAUUGCCAUCCGCCCAAAUCUACAGACAUCCCGCAUGUUCCCGGGCUCGUCUCCCCAAUACAGGGCACCAAGCAUCCUACCAAGGCGAAUCCAUUGACCAGGAUUUAAGUUGAGACUCCCCCAGGACCCCGGGUGCAGCAUCUGGGUCCCCCUGCCCCGCCCUGCCUUGCGCCGCAGCCGCUUCCGUUGUCCUGCCAGGCUGUAGACUGCGCAGCCCUCCUGGAGACAGAUGGAAGCUCCUUGGGUCGACAGAUUACAGCUUCUGGAACCCCCUACUCCCUUCAACUCCGAGAUGGACACCCACUGUCCAGGGAGAGGAUGCCUGGAAAUAACAGCUGGGAUCUACAGUGGCCAAAGAGUUGUCUCCGUCUUGCUACAUCGACAAACUGGUGCUCCUGAGUGAGGAUUGUGCCCUGGGAUGGGGGAUUCAGUUUCUUCAUUUAUAGUUGGAAGUGGGUGAAGCCACUUCGGAAGCGUUUUCCUCUCCACUCUGACAACAGGCAAGAGUGAGGGUCCAACAAUACAGAGGAAGUAACGUGUCGCUGCUACUCUUCCAUGCCCAGUGCCAGGAGCGACGGUACACUCCAGAGUGCUGUGCCCUGAUGGGCCUUUGAGUGGCCAGUGCAGUGGAUCAUCAGCCCUGUCUCCCAAGAGCUCCAGUCCCUUCUCCGGAGAGGAAGUGGGUCCACUGGCAGCUCAGGAGGCCAUAGCAGCUAAUAGCUGUGUCUUGGUUCCUGGUGAGAUCUUGGUUGACUCGGGGGUCCUGAGUGUGGCUUGUCUCUGCAGGAUUGUCACGUGUGCUCAACAGUCCUCCUCGGCUUUCCAGAAGAGGCUGGAACAGGGCCCUUGAAGAUGUUUGUGGACAUCAGAGGGCCAAAGACGACACAAAGUGAAACUGGAGACACCGCCCCCCCUUGGCAUCAUGAAACUGCCGAUGUUACUGGCUCAUGCAUGGGAGACACCAGCAUACAAAGUCUUGACACCAACACCUCAGAGGGCUGUGUUCUGUCCCCGUGACCAUCAUCUAGUGCCUGGAAAGACUAGUGACAAGAACUUGUUGCCAACUUCCUAUUACCUCCCUAACAGUUGUGCAAUAAACCCCAUAGGUUAA